AUGAACGCUGGCGGCGUGCCUAAUACAUGCAGGUCGAGCGCACGGACGAGAAGCUUGCUUCUCUGAUGUUAGCGGCGGACGGGUGAGUAACACAUGGAUAACCUACCUAUAAGACUGGGAUAACUUCGGGAAACCGGAGCUAAUACCGGAUAAUAUUUUGAACCGCAUGGUUCAAAAGUGAAAGACGGUCUUGCUGUCACUUAUAGAUGGAUCCGCGCUGCAUUAGCUAGUUGGUAAGGUAACGGCUUACCAAGGCAACGAUGCAUAGCCGACCUGAGAGGGUGAUCGGCCACACUGGAACUGAGACACGGUCCAGACUCCUACGGGAGGCAGCAGUAGGGAAUCUUCCGCAAUGGGCGAAAGCCUGACGGAGCAACGCCGCGUGAGUGAUGAAGGUCUUCGGAUCGUAAAACUCUGUUAUUAGGGAAGAACAUAUGUGUAAGUAACUGUGCACAUCUUGACGGUACCUAAUCAGAAAGCCACGGCUAACUACGUG
rnacentral:rRNA from 1 species